rnacentral:rRNA from 1 species
AGAGUUUGAUCAUGGCUCAGGAUGAACGCUGGCGGCGUGCCUAACACAUGCAAGUCGAACGUCCUCUGGCCGCAAGGCUGGAGGGAGUGGCGGACGGGUGAGUAACACAUGGGAACCUACCUUCCAGUGAGGAAUACCGGCGAGAAAUCGCCGACAAGACCGCAUGGGCUUCUCCUUUGGGGGAAGCAAAGUUUCUUCGCGAGAGGAGACGCUGGAAGAUGGGCCUGUGGCCGAUUAGCUAGCUGGUGGGGUAAGAGCCUACCAGGGCGACGAUCGGUAGCUGGUCUGAGAGGACGAGCAGCCACACUGGGAUUGAGAACGGCCCAGACUCCUACGGGGGGCAGCAGUGAGGAAUUUUCCGCAAUGGGCGCAAGCCUGACGGAGCAACGCCGCGUGCAGGAAGACGGCCUUCGGGUUGUAAACUGCUUUUCUGAGGGACGAGCAAGGACGGUACCUCAGGAACAAGCCCCGGCUAACUACGUGCCAGCAGCCGCGGUAAUACGUAGGGGGCGAGCGUUGUCCGGAGUUACUGGGCGUAAAGGGCAUGCAGGCGGAGCGCUGCGUUUGCCAUGACAGCUCCUCGCUUCACGAGGAGAGAGUGGCAAAAACGAGCGCACUUGAGGGACACAGAGGGACACAGAAUUCGGGGUGGAGUGGUGAAAUGCGUAGAGAUCCGGAGGAAUACCAA